rnacentral:lncRNA from 1 species
CCCCUGUGAACAUUUUUUAUUUUACAGGGGGGCAAAGUGUAGGUUUUUAAAUGUCAGGGGGGAAAGUGAAAAAGCGGAUUAUUAUAGAGGGGUUUUCUGUAAUUUCGCAUUUUUUUUUAUUGUAUGCUUUAAUUUGUGUAACUAAUCUAUCUAUUUAUACAACUCCGUCCUCUUCACCAAUCGCCAUUAUGAUGCCUCCAAUCCUAUCGGUGAGCUCCCAUCGGUAGGAAAAUUCUACUGAUUGCAGGGAAUGAGGGGAAGGGGUGCUGCCAUGACCCCAUGGCCGACGGUCACGCUACCGCCGUGCGUUGCUUGCUAGAGCCCUCGCCAUCAUAUCUGAAGCUCAUUCCUUCUCCUAUUGGGUUUCCCACAUGAGAUCGACAAUGUAAGUCACGCACCUCUCUCUUGCUUUCCCUUUUUUUUUUAAUCAUGAUAAAUAAUCCAAUUUGCAAUUUUUAUCCUCAAUUACCAGUUUUCCUUGCCAAUUCAAGUAUUUUCUUUUUUUUUUUAAGCAUUGUUUGCUUUUAAAUUAAUGUACGAUUAUUUGAGUUGGUAAAUCCAGACAUCUCUACUCAAUUUUCCCUCUUUUGUCACCUGUAGUGACAACUACAACGGCAAUGACGAGGGUACAACUAGGCAAAAUUUUUCUAAUUUGUAAGAUAAAUUUUUCUAAUUUGUAAUGUCUUAGAAGGCUUAUUAUUUGCUUUUUGGUUGUUUUUAACCUGUUGUAUCUCAUGCCUACUAGAUGGACCAAUUUGAGCCUUAUUGGUUUUUCGUGAACCAAAUUUAAAAUUAGAGUGAAAAUUCAAAUAGGCAUGAGACCAAUUAGAUUGAUAAUAAUGAAGUGCCUGAAAGGUCUUGAAAGGAUUGGUUAUUUUAGAAACGUAUUGCCUCCUCACUCUUCCAAACUGUCUCAACAGCUUUCUGAUGCUCAAAUUUCUUUAUUUUUCAUUCUUUGAUAGUUUAAUUGUUAAGUUCGGUGUCUUCAAAAUUAUUUGAUGUAAUGCCUCAAAGAGUUUAGUGAGGCCAAAAAAAAAUAAACCAUGUGGUUGCGAUUCUUGGUAAUAUGAAUGUCUUCUAUUUUUUUUCUUCUAUACAUAAUUUUCACUACUUUUUAUUUGUAUUCAUCUUAGAUUUUCUAUCGACAAGAGGAGAUGCAAGAUAAGUGCAAAAUCUUUAUAAUCCCAUAAUUUUCUUUGUAACUUGUACGUCAUUUCAUUCUCUUUAUAACCCAAUUUAUGAACUAUAUUCUAGGAACUUAAAAGUAUUGGUGCCAUCAAGUAGUCUUGUUGCAUCUUCUCUAGGAAUUGAGAUGGCGAUGUGGUGGUACCACCUGUAUAUUUUGUGUCACACCUCGAGGCCGUUCCAAUUUGGUCGGUUCGGGCACGUCGAACAGAUGCCGAAAGGAUAACACCUCCCUUGUCCGCCUAAAGCUCAACACAUGUACAAUUCAAGUAGAGAGAAUGCACAAGAGGAAACAUACACAUAUGGCUUGCACGAGAGCACGCAGUAGCCAAAAGUGAAAAAUUCUAAACUAAACAUUCAUACAAGUAUGAUGAUUAACUUUUAACCACAUACAUGCAUUCACAUCAUAUCUUACAUUUACAUUUACAUUCUUUUCAUCAUUUCUUUUUACAUUACAAGUUCUCCAAAAUGGGCUUUUACAUUUAACCCUUAUCUAUACAUUUGUAUCAUUUAUAUAUCUGUAAUCAUCAAGUACAAAAGAUGAUAUAAGGGAACGCAACUAUACAAAAAUGAACCAACACGGGUAGUCACUGUCUGUGGCGCGAUACCUUUACCGCGAUCGUCGGCCGGCUCACUCGGUCCCGGCUCUGUAGAAAUAGUGGGGUGAGAACUACAACAAAGUUCCCAGUGGGUUCCGCCGCCGACCUCACCGACUUUCCUACUAGGUCUAAAUCAGGUAUAAUAGAAGAAUAGAGAGAUAGUAACCAACUAAACAAAUACAGCUAAUAUGCUUGAACAAGAUAUAAUCAAUAAUAUGCUCAAAUGAAAUGCUCAUGAUGAAUGCAAGAUCCGCUUUUCAAUUCUCAAUCCUCUUGGCUAAUUCGUAGGUUUCGCCUAAAGCAACUCACCAACUCAUAAUCCUAAUUGUCGGGGAGACUACUAUGAUCCGACGGGACCGUCCUUUGGGGAGACUACUACAACCCAGUGAUGACUACUCCGGAGCUCAUCGCUCGAGGGGGAGCUACCACCCUCCGAGCCAAAAAGUAUAGAUGAGUAUGAUCAAUCCUUAACUGUAAGGAUGCAAUACUCACAUGACCUUUAACUAUAAGGUUGUUAUGUCAUAAUGUCAACUAUGUCAUUUAUUAGUAUUCUUUAACUUUUCUUGAGUCACAACACUCUAAGUGUUCUAUAUUCACGUUGUCAUGCAUUCAUUGAUCUCAUUAAUGCCACCCUUGUGUUUACAUCUAGCAUUCAAUGUUCUCAUUAAUGCCACUUACUAUUAAUGUCAUAAUGUCAUUUGUUUUCAAUGUCACUAGAUUCUUUAUCUUUUCUAGGUUCUUAUCAUCAUUCAUGUAUACAUAGGGUUUUUACAAGUUCUCACUAAUUUACAAUCAUCUCACAUGCAUUUGUAUUCACAACAUGCAACAACACGUGUCCAUAUGCUCUAAUUUCACCCUACAAUGCAUAAUGAUUAUAUAUAACCUAUACUCAAGAAAUGACAUAGACAUAAAAGAAAAUUCGAG